rnacentral:rRNA from 1 species
UUCCGGUUGAUCCUGCCGGAGGCCAUUGCUAUCGGAGUCCGAUUUAGCCAUGCUAGUCGCACGGGUUUAGACCCGUGGCGGAUAGCUCAGUAACACGUGGCCAAACUGUCCUAUGGAUCGGGAUAACCUCGGGAAACUGAGGCUAAUCCCGAAUAAGGCUUCCACUCUGGAGUGAGGGAAGCUGGAAACGUUACGGCGCCAUAGGAUGUGGCUGCGGCCGAUUAGGUAGACGGUGGGGUAACGGCCCACCGUGCCGAUAAUCGGUACGGGUUGUGAGAGCAAGAGCCCGGAGACGGAUUCUGAGACAAGAAUCCGGGCCCUACGGGGCGCAGCAGGCGCGAAAACUUUACACUGCACGACAGUGCGAUAAGGGGACUCCGAGUGCGAGGGCAUAUAGUCCUCGCUUUUGUACACCGUAAGGUGGUGUACGAAUAAGGGCUGGGCAAGACCGGUGCCAGCCGCCGCGGUAAUACCGGCAGCCCGAGUGAUGGCCGCUAUUAUUGGGCCUAAAGCGUCCGUAGCCAGCCAGACAGGUCCGUCGGGAAAUCCAUCCGCUUAACGGAUGGGCGUCCGGCGGAAACCAGCUGGCUUGGGGCCGGAAGACCUGAGGGGUACGUCCGGGGUAGGAGUGAAAUCCCGUAAUCCUGGACGGACCGCCGGUGGCGAAAGCGCCUCAGGAGGACGGACCCGACGGUGAGGGACGAAAGCUAGGGUCACGAACCGGAUUAGAUACCCGGGUAGUCCUAGCUGUAAACGAUGCUCGCUAGGUGUGGCGCUGGCUACGAGCCAGCGCUGUGCCGUAGGGAAGCCGAGAAGCGAGCCGCCUGGGAAGUACGUCCGCAAGGAUGAAACUUAAAGGAAUUGGCGGGGGAGCACUACAACCGGAGGAGCCUGCGGUUUAAUUGGACUCAACGCCGGA